rnacentral:lncRNA from 1 species
GGGUGGGGAGGUGGCAGUGGAAACAAAUGAGUGGCCAAUCAGGCUUUCCAGGAACGUCUCAUCAUGACACACUGCUCUCUGCCAACUGCCGGAGCUGAGCGGAAUAAAGAUGAGUGUGUGAGGACCCUAUUGAGGGGGCACAAUGAUAGUACCCUGCCUAAUCUCGGCCAAGGGAUCGAGAGUCAGAGGGACAUUUUGUCCAUGUGAAUGUCUCUUUGCUGAGUGACAGGUUAUUGAUCAGCAUGAGAUGGGAGAACCAAACAGCAAACGGUAACACAGAAAGCAAAAGGCCCUUCAAGGUGGUAAUUGUUACGUGAUACAUAUGAAGGAUAUAUGGGAGUUAGUUCUUUUCGGUGCCGAGAAGGGCCAAAGAUUAUAGAACCUAGUGUCACCAUGGUCAUUGCUUCUUCCUUCCCCCCAUUCCAGAAACAGAAAAGGAAAAGUCCUGUUGUCAAGACCUCCAAGGACAAGAACCAGUGAAGCCUGGGCCAUUGUGAGGAUUGAAUGAGCUAAUGCAGGCCCACGUGCCCACCUCAUGGUAAGAACUUCAGAGACAUUAGCCAUUACUAUUCCAACUGAUCACACACACUCAGUGCCACCAAGGAUGAUGCCACUGCAGUGUCUCCCUAUCUCCCUACCUUAGGUUUCACGUUUUGGCGAGCAAAUGCAGCAGGAAUAAAUUUUCAGUGGCCUGGGAGCCACAGCUAUACCCUUUUGCCAUAAGAAACUCCCAAACUCUCUCUCUCUCUUUC